AUGCGGUUAAUGGAAGUGAUGGUGGGUCAGAGAAUGAAGAAAGAGCUAUGGUUCAGUACGGGCAAGAGAAAGCGAUGCAGGCCAUUACACAAGGCAAGAGUGGCGCAUCUACCUCACAAGCUCAGGAGACUAUUGUCAUGAACAAGGCUGACCUCGAGUCUCUCCUCCAAUCCAUUGCAUCUAAAUUACACACUGGCGGUAUUUCUUUCUUAACUUCUAAUACUCGUGAUAAAGAUUCAUUAGUAUUAGAUUCAGGGGCUUCUCACCAUAUGAUUAGUAACCCUAGGUUGUUAGAGAACAUUAAACCGGCCUUAGGUAAUGUUAAAGUUGCAAAUGGACAUAAUGUUCCAAUAGAAGGCAUAGGUUGCAUAGAUUUGUUCAAUAAGAAGUCUAGUGUUUUCUAUAUGCCUAAGUUCACUUCAAAUCUUCUCUCUGUUAAGAAAACGACUAAGGACUUGAAUUGUUUAGCUAUUUUUAGUCCUAAUGACGUGAAGUUGUAGGAUAUUGAGAGUGGAAAAGUGUUUGGGCAAGGAAGCACCAAGGAUGACUUAUAUGUGUUUCAAGACA
rnacentral:lncRNA from 1 species